rnacentral:lncRNA from 1 species
CUCCCUUUCUCUCUCUUCUCCUUAAGCUGGUCCCACUACACAUAAGUCAGUAUACUUAAUUAAAUCUCACAUUUCUCAAAGGUUUUAUUUUUCCUCAUUCCUUUUCCUCGCUGUUCUUCAGAUUGCACACUCUUUUACGGAUUUACCUUUAAUUUUUCAGAUUCUUUCUUCUUCCAGAUUAAAUCUACUAGUGAAGUUUUCAUUUCAAUUAUACUUAACUCUAAAAUUUCCAUUUUAAAAAAUAAUUUAUCUUUAUUCAUAUUCUCUAUUUGAUGAGACUUUCCUUUAAUUCUUUAGAAAGCAUCCUAUAGCUCUUAACCUAUUUUUUUCAUAGUUUCUUUGGGAAAUCCUGCAUUUAGGUCCCCACACAAUUUCUUCUGCCUCCUUUUUCCUAUGUAUGGGUCAUACUUUUUUUUUUCAUGACCCAUGAUAUGUUUUUGAGAACUGAACAUUUCAGACGACACAUUGUAGUAAUUCUGGGUGCUGACUCCCUCAUCCCUUUUCUGUAGCCUGCUGCUGUUUGCUUAUUUGUUGAGUGACUGGCUAGACAAGGUGAGUGAAGUCUAUUCUUCCUGCAGUGUGUAGCCUCUGAUGUUGCUCCACAGAGGGCAGGAGCAAGGUCUCCUGGAGCACUUGGCUGGUCGAUAUUUAUUGGUAUCACACCCAGCUAUUAGCCUCCACUAAUUGCCAGCGGAUUGUUCUAUUGUUUUCAACAAUACCCUGAGGCAUAAAUUGCUCCACAGUCUGAUUUGACUAAAGCAGGGCUCCUUUGCAGGGGCAGGGUGUUGCCAGUCUUUGAGGUUGUCCCUUCCAAGGGGAAACCACAGCCCUAGACUGAGAUCUAGGUGGAGAUCUAGGUGUGAGAUCUUCUUAGCUGUACAUUUCCUGAGUUUCUGUCACACUAGUCUAUACCGGGGGUAGCAGGGGAGAUGACUAGAUCAUGUCACACACUCUCUAUUCUUACCAAGAUUUGGUAGAGUUUCUUGACUAGCAAGUUCUCCAUUUGCUGCAUACCCUGGGGAAAAUUUUUGAAACCAUAAAUGCUUGCUUUUUUACAUAAAUAAUUUUCAGCAGUCAAACAACUGAUUCCCUGGUUAAAUUAAAGGCUCUGUCAUGCUUCUCACACUGCCGUUUUGAAGAUAAUGUCUAGUACCUAGCACUCUUAAUUCACUAUAUGUUUUACUUCUUUAUGGUAUGAUAUGGUCUGAUUUCCUAUGAAACCCUAGAAUGUAAACUCCAUGUUAGACAGGGGGCAGAAUUCAUAUCACAGGCCUUCAAUGAAUAAGGGUUGAAAAGGAGUUCCCAUUGUGGCUCAGUGGGUUAAGGACCUGACAUAGUCUCCAUGAGGAUGUGUGUUUGAUCCCUGGCCUCGCUCAAUGGGUUAAAGGAUCCAGCAAUGCCGCAAGCUGCAGUGUGGGUUGCAGAUGCAGCUCAGAUCUGGUGUUACCAAAGCUAUGGUGUAGGCCUCAGCUGCAGCUCUGAUUCUACCCCUAGCCUGGGAACUACUAUAUGCUGUAGAUGUGGCCAUAAAAAGAAAAGAAAAAAUAUGGGUUGAAUGAAUGGAGUGCCCGUGAACCACAGCCUACCCUAUGCAUGCCACAGCUGAUCAGAAACUGCCAUGGCUGAUGAUCCAUUCAUGGCUGUGACAAUUAUGAAUAACUACAGUCCUAUAUUUCCGCAUAACAUUUUUUUGCAAUUUCCUCAGAAGCUGAUCACAGCCCUGGGAGACUGCGACACCUUUGACAGUUAUCAGGCAGAUGAUUGAUAGGGAAGAAAGAAUGAGAAGCAGAGCUAUGGCAUACAUAUCCCUCAACCCUUGGUGCUGAAUUCCACCUCUGCUCCUUUUCAUCUUAAAUAUUAUUUAACAUCUAUAAAUAGCUUGCUUAUAAAAGGCAUCUAAUUUAUCUUGGUUUGAGAGAAAGUCCUGCUAUGAUGGAACUAGUCCUGGAAAUGGAAUCAAGAAGCAUGUGUUUGAGUCUGGGCUCUGGUUCCUAUAGUCUGUGUGCUACUAGACAAGUUACUUAAACUCUCUGGUUCUUCAGAAGCCUCCUCUGAAAAAUGUGAAAUCAUGGUGAGAACUUCUUGUAUUAUCUUUUCUUAUUAUAUGAAUUCAAACAAUCUCUGCUAGGCAUUUCGCACAGUGUCAGAUGCACCAGGAACCACCCAAUAAAUGUUAGGCACUAUUAUUAUUAACUGUAAAACAGAAAUCAGAGGCCUGCCCAGCCAUCACACUGCAGUGGUCUGUGCAUUUAAUGAGAGAGCAGCUAGGAAGGUAGAUUGUGCGUGUGAUGUAUUAUGCAAAAUUACCUUCUUAGAGCCACAGAACUAAGUCUUCCUGGCCUGCUGAGCUGAGAAAAUGCCUCACCAGUGUUUGCUUGUGUCCUAAUCCAUCAUUCUCCUCCCCAGGGCCUGUGCUCCCAUUCCUCAACCCCCAGGCUAAAUGAGGCCCUGGAGCAGAACCUCGGAACCCUGCCCUAAGACUCACCUUCCCUCAGGCAGGAAGUUUCUGGGACAAGGUUGUCCCUUGGAAUACUGUCUGCCAGCCACCAUCUUGCUCAGCAGAGGACCAGGCCAAAGCAGAGUCCUUUUUUUUUUUUUUUUUUUUGUAUCAGAGCUUGAACUGCAGCUGAAACAAGCAGUGGGAGAGGUUUACUUAUACACCACAAUAUGCUUCCCUUUAGAGGAGUGGAUACCAUUUGGUCUAACGUGUGGCCUAACAUGUGGGAGUCUGAACCACCAGGGGGGCCAGUGUCUAGAGGAGAGGGACAUGUUCCUGAUGGCCUGAAAGGGGCGCGCACUGGGGGGCGGGGGCGGGGGGCUCUGGAUAACAGGUGCUCUGCCAGGUGGCACAGGUCCAAGGGCAAACCCUGACUCUGCACCUUAUUAUCAGCUGUGUGCAGUGGGACAAGUUACUCUCUCUCUC